UACAGAGGGUGCGAGCGUUGCUCGGAAUCAUUGGGCGUAAAGCGCACGUAGGCGGUUCGUUAUGUCGGAUGUGAAAGCCCUUGGCUUAACCGAGGAAGUGCAUCCGAAACUGGCGAGCUAGAGUACGAAAGAGGAUCGCGGAAUUCCCGGUGUAGAGGUGAAAUUCGUAGAUAUCGGGAGGAACACCGGUGGCGAAGGCGGCGAUCUGGGUCGAUACUGACGCUGAGGUGCGAAAGCGUGGGGAGCAAACAGG
rnacentral:rRNA from 1 species